rnacentral:tRNA from 1 species
GGAGAGAUGCAGGAGUGGCUUAACUGGCACGCCUGGAAAGCGUGUGUACUGCAAAACGGUACCGAGGGUUCGAAUCCCUCUCUCUCCG